CUAAUAGUAAUUCAGUAUUUUAACUUAAAGAUGGUUUUCAUAAAACUAUUAAAAUAUUGUCGAAGUGGUGUUAAAUAAUUGUAAAAUCCAAAUACUAGUUACUAGUCACGCCACUUUUGUUUGGAUUUAAUAAUAAUAAACUACAAUAAAUAUAAUACAGAUGACAUUAUAAUUUCGAAGUUUAGGUCAGCAUUUUAUGAAAAUUAAUACACUGAGAUUUAGUUCACCAUAAGUUUAACACCCAUGAUAUUUGUUGUGUAUGGACCAAAUUGGAGGCACUGAACGAAUGGAUUUCAAAGUAUAUUUUAUCCAAUUACUAAGUUAUUCGUGUUAUAACUAAGUUAUACAUAACUACAUAUUAUAAGAUCAACAAUAUUUUUAACUGUUUAAAUAGUUUUUAUUAUAAAUAUUUCAAUACGUUGUUACCAUUGAAAUCAAAUUUGUCGAAGUAUCAGAAAGACUAAAAAGGAUAUCCUAUUUAUUUGAAUCAUUGAAGAAUAAAAAUACAAAGUAAUUGCACUACAAUUAUAAUCGCUCAUGAGAUAACGAGUAAAUUUUAUCAAGUUCCAGCAGGUAAUCGAUAUUCAAAAGCUUUGCGUUUUGUUCUACUCUCAUUCAUAUUUUUAAAAGUCUCCGUGAUUAAAUCAACAUUCGACAGAGCGAAAUAACAGAGCCUAUAGUCCAUACAGUACCUUAUCUUAUAACGGUCUAAUUGAAAAAAAACCAGCACAGUGGGGUCGCGGCAUAGUAGAGACGUUGCAUAAUUGGGUCCAGUAUAGAUUUAAUUUGACAGUGAUUAAAAUCACUAUCAUAAGAAACGCCUCGAUACAAAUCUGUAGAUAGUGUUUAAUUUUAAAAAAAUGAUGGAUAAUUACAAAAGCAACAUUAACUUCUACUUCCUUAAUUAUACCCAGAUUAGUAAUUCUUUUAAUUA